AGCUCCAAUAGCGUAUAUUAAUGCUGCUGCGGUUGAAACGCUCGUAGUUGGACCUUGGGGCGUGAGUUGGGGUCGGCCUUCGGGCAAGAUCCUGACGCGUGUCCUAUUGCCGUAAUCCGCCUCCCAUGGCUUUCGGGCUGUGGAAUCAGGGGCGAUUUCGGCCGGUUACUUUGAAGAAAUUAGAGUGUUCAAAGCAGGCCAAUGCCUUGAAUACAUUAGCAUGGAAUAACAGAAUAGGACUUUGGUCUUGUUGUGUUGGUUUCCGGGACUAGAGUAAUGAUUAAUAGGGACAGUUGGGGGCAUUCAUAUUUGGCUGUCAGAGGUGAAAUUCUUGGAUUAGCCAAAGAUGAACUACUGCGAAAGCAUUUGCCAAGGAUGUUUUCA
rnacentral:rRNA from 1 species